CGGGAUAAGCCUGGGAAACUGGGUCUAAUACCGGAUAGGACCACAUUUUGGAUGGUGUGGUGGAAAGUUUUUCGGUGUGGGAUGAGCUCGCGGCCUAUCAGCUUGUUGGUGGGGUAAUGGCCUACCAAGGCGUCGACGGGUAGCCGGCCUGAGAGGGUGUACAGCCACAUUGGGACUGAGAUACGGCCCAG
rnacentral:rRNA from 1 species